CCCAAACUGCCAUUUUACAGAGGAGAAACCUGGGCUUGGGGUGCCAGGCUGUGGUCUACAAGACCCCCUGUACUCACCUUAAACUUCCACAGGCUGGAAAGACCAAGACUCCUACCAGGUCUUCAUGAAGCUGAAGAGAUGUCCAGUAUCAUCGAUGUGUGUCUUGCUGUGUGUCCACUUAUCUGGGAUCCAUCAAGCAAAUUGGUUUCCUCUGCUUCUCCUGUCCAUGGGGCAGAGGACAAUUGAGACUAUGCCCAAGCUUUGGAAAUGAACAGUCACAGAAACCAAGACUGGUCCUUCUUCCUCUGGACUGGACUCCUCCUGUGCUAUGAAGGGGAGUUGGCAGCUGAUCCUGGAAUAUCUAGGCAGGCCGGAUGGGACAGGACUAUGGAAAGAUCAUUUGGUGGGUUCUUCUAUGCAGCCCAGACUGGUUUUGAACUUGCAUGCACACAGGCAUCCCACACCUACAUGAAGAUGGGGGAAAAGAUGAAGAGAGCAGAGCUGAGGACGGAGAAGAGCAAAAACAGGCCACUAACGCCUGUCAGCGAGGACCAGUGAGAAGAACGAUGACUUCUCACCAUACCCAACCCUCAGUGCCGGCAACCUGUCUGCUUCACCCCCAUGGAUGCCUUUUUCAGCUUUCUCCUCUCCUCCUCCUUUCCGCCCUCAGAUUUUGAGAUGGGCUGGCAGUCCUGACUCAGCCUCCCCCUCAUUGUGAUUCCAGGUGUGCAGCUCCAGCCCAGUUUUCCCAGUACUCUCCAUUCUCACAUCCUGCACUAAGCAUCUCUCACUGCUCCAUGUGCGCUAGAAGCCUGCACCCUGUGUAGACAUGCUCACACCACUCGAGCUCUGCAUUCUGUUUCUGGCAGCAGCCUGCUUUGUGUCCUUGGGUUCCAUGAAGACUCACCCGGCUCAGCUGAUGCUAGCCUUGUUUGGCCAUAGCCCCUGGCUUCUGGAAGAAUAGAAAGCAAAGGGAAAAGGGAUAAUUUUGAGUUCACCAGAAAAAAAGGAAAAAAGAAAAGAAACUGUGUGUGUGUGUGGUACACACCUUUAGUCUCAGCACUCAGAAGGCAGAGUCAGGUGGGCUCCUCUGAGUUUAAGGCCACAUGGUAUGCAUGAUGCACAUUGAGAGUUUCAGGACAUUCAUCACGAGGGACCAGGAGGAAUGCCAGGAGAAGUUCUCGGCUGUCUCUCUCUCUCAGGGAAGCGAAGAUCAGUGAAGAUUCGAGGAGACCGUCAAACGUUGAACAGCUAACUCUAUAAGCAAGCCUAGUUCUGCCUCUAGUUAUACCCUCCAAACAUCUUGUGUCCUCCAUGGGUCUUGCCUCUGCCAAUCAGCCCAAAUCUGAGCAAGCGGCAAAAAGCCGCAGCACACCACCAGAAGUUUUUUGGUGCGCUUCUCUCUACGGCGUCCCAACAAAUACAGCUCAACUACACAAUGUAAGGUGGACCAAUGCAUGCGUGUCGUUAGCAAUGAAUCCUUCACCACGUGUCCUUUCACGUGCUUGUUUGAGCAGAACAUCCUUUCACCUGUGACUGCUUCCGCUAAACGUUCAAGGUUCCAGG
ensembl:lncRNA